rnacentral:rRNA from 1 species
CCUACGGGGGGCAGCAGUGGGGAAUAUUGCACAAUGGGCGCAAGCCUGAUGCAGCCAUGCCGCGUGUGUGAAGAAGGCCUUCGGGUUGUAAAGCACUUUCAGCGGGGAGGAAGGCGUUAAGGUUAAUAACCUUGGCGAUUGACGUUACCCGCAGAAGAAGCACCGGCUAACUCCGUGCCAGCAGCCGCGGUAAUACGGAGGGUGCAAGCGUUAAUCGGAAUUACUGGGCGUAAAGCGCACGCAGGCGGUCUGUCAAGUCGGAUGUGAAGUCCCCGGGCUCAACCUGGGAACUGCAUUCGAAACUGGCAGGCUAGAGUCUUGUAGAGGGGGGUAGAAUUCCAGGUGUAGCGGUGAAAUGCGUAGAGAUCUGGAGGAAUACCGGUGGCGAAGGCGGCCCCCUGGACAAAGACUGACGCUCAGGUGCGAAAGCGUGGGGAGCAAACAGGAUUAGAUACCCCAGUAGUC